UAGGGAAUCUUCCACAAUGGACGCAAGUCUGAUGGAGCAACGCCGCGUGAGUGAAGAAGGUUUUCGGACCGUAAAGCUCUGUUGUUGGUGAAGAAGGAUAGAGGUAGUAACUGGCCUUUAUUUGACGGUAAUCAACCAGAAAGUCACGGCUAACUACGUGCCAGCAGCCGCGGUAAUCGUAGGUGGCAAGCGUUGUCCGGAUUUAUUGGGCGUAAAGCGAGCGCAGGCGGAAGAAUAAGUCUGAUGUGAAAGCCCUCGGCUUAACCGAGGAAUUGCAUCGGAAACUGUUUUCUUGAGUGCAGAAGAGGAGAGUAGAACUCCAUGUGUAGCGGUGGAAUGCGUAGAUAUAUGGAAGAAUACCAGUGGCGAAGGCGGCUCUCUGGUCUGCAACUGACGCUGAGGCUCGAAAGCAUGGGUAGCGAACAGGAUUAGAUACCCUGGUAGUCCAUGCCGUAAACGAUGAGUGCUAAGUGUUGGGAGGCUUCCGCCUCUCAGUGCUGCAGCUAACGCAUUAAGCACUCCGCCUGGGGGAGUACGAC
rnacentral:rRNA from 1 species